AACGAACGCUGGCGGCAUGCCUAACACAUGCAAGUCGAACGAGACCUUCGGGUCUAGUUGUGCACGGGUGCGUAACGCGUGGGAAUCUGCCCUUGGGUUCGGUAUCACAGUUGGAAACGACUGCUAAUACCGGAUGAUGACUUCGGUCCAAAGAUUUUUCGCCCAGGGAUGAGCCCUGGUCGGAUUAGCUAGUUGGUGAGGUAAUAGCUCACCAAGGCGAGGUUCCUGAGCUGGUCUGAGAGGAUGAUCAGACAGACUGGGAAUGAGACACGGACCAGACUGCGACGGGAGGCAGAAGAGGGGAAUAUUGGACGAUGGGCGAAAGCGUGACAAAGCAAUGCCGCGUGAGUGAUGAAGGGCUUAGGGUUGUAAAGCUCUUUUACACGGGAUGAUAAUGACAGUACCGGGAGAAUAAGCACCGGCUAACUACGUG
rnacentral:rRNA from 1 species